UCUUGCUUUCCGUCCCAUCCUCUUUCCUUCGUGUAUUUCUUCUAUGGAAGAGUCGCUUAUUCUUUUGAGUUAAGGGUUUUGUUCUCGCCUUACAGAUUUUCAGCCUGUCGUCUAGUAUCUCCUUUUUCAGAUUCAUCACAGUAAAUAUGACUGAGGGCUUCAACAAUCUCCCAGGUAUACAGACUUACCACAGACCCUGAACCAGGAGAGAAGCUGAAAAACACACACAGUAACUCCUGCUUAAUGAAGGUGUUCUGCUAGAUCACUGCCUCA